rnacentral:rRNA from 1 species
UACGUAGGGUGCAAGCGUUAAUCGGAAUUACUGGGCGUAAAGCGUGCGCAGGCGGUUCUAUAAGACAGAUGUGAAAUCCCCGGGCUCAACCUGGGAACUGCAUUUGUGACUGUAGAGCUGGAGUGCGGCAGAGGGGGAUGGAAUUCCGGCGUGGUAGCAGUGAAAUGCGUAGAUAUGCGGAGGAACACCGAUGGCGGAAGGCAAUCCCCUGGGCCUGCACUGACGCUCAGUGCACGAAAGCGUGGGAGCAAACAGGA